UGACCCCUAGUCUGGGAACUGCCAUAUGCUGCAGGUGUGGCCUUAAAAAAAAAAAACAAAAAAACCUUUCUUCCAGUGGAUCCCAUCUCACUUAAAGGCCAAGGUCAUUCCAGCGGCUUCCAGCCCUCACUGCUCCAGCUCUGUGACCCCUGUGACCUCUUCUCCCACCAGGCUCUCGGUCUCCUGUUCCCGCCCCGGUGGUCUCCACCGGCUCUGGUGCACAGCAGGCACGGGCCUGCUGCGGGGCUGUGCUGUCUCCACCCUGCAGCACAGAGGGAGUUCUCCCCAAACACUGGCUAACUUCCUCACCUCCAAUUUUUUUCUUAAAUCUUAAGCUUCUCGGGGAGGCCAGCUUUGAUCAGACAUGUACCAUUACGUACUGCCUGCCCCUCCAGCCCACCCUCAAGAGUCCCGAUCUUCAUUACCCUGUUCUGCCUUCUUGCUACGGCACUGACCAACCUCUGCCAUUCCAGAGUCAGUUACAGAAAUUCAGAACUGAAGGGGCCUUAAAGUCUGCUGCGUUCAACCUCCUCAUUUUAGAGAUGAAAGCACUCAACCCCAAAGCAGCUACGUUCCCCAUCGGGGAGCAGAGCCUGUUCCUCCCCUGGCAGCCCAGCCCCCACACGCUGUGACAGCCGCCCUGGUUCACAAGCUUCCGUUCCCCACGACACCUUCCAAAUGGCCAGGAGGAGCGGCCGACGAGCUCGUGUCGUUCGUACUCUGUACACUCGCUUCUGCCCACUGAACCAGGACAGGCUAUUUUUCAAGAGUGACAGGGUCCUUCUCAGCACUGGUUCAUUUAAGAAGAUUGCAAACGUGUGAUAUGUGAAAAUUUAGAGGAUUUUAUUGAUUUUUAUAUAUUCUUGCAGAAAACCAUUCACAUGGAAAAGCUUGACAUUUGCUAGGAGAAUUAGUCACACCUGAACAUCAGUUCUUUGAUCCGGGGGUCAGACGUCAGUUUUCAUUUCAACAGGACUUUCACAUGAUCACAGUCACGAAAUUGGCACACGCUAUUAAAAACUCAGUCAGAGCAAGACAAAGGAGGCAGUUUUAUGCCAGUUUCAAUUCAACAUGCACCACCCCUCAUACAUGAUCUGGCAAGUAUCUGCUGUGAGCCAAAAUAUUAACCAGAGAAUGGCUGAGGUCACAAAUGAUUGUUUACAAAAUAAAACCUCUUUUUCUAGGGCUACCUACCGUGUUAUAGAAAAAUAGUCCAAAUAAAAAUUAGUGCCAUUCAAGGUGUACAUGUCAAAGUCACAUGUGAUACACAGGUUCAAGCCAUUUUCCCCCUCAUAUAAAGACAUUACCAUAGACGAGGUGGAUUAAAUGUACCCGGGGAACGACCACCAGCUUAGUGAUGACACACUGUCUACUAUGCUGACGUUAAAAAGGAGAGAAAUAAAACAUUUUCAGGUACUGGGUGCACUCAGAUUUUGUUCCUAAUCUGAGACUCAGGAAAAAAAUGCUACAGAAA